rnacentral:rRNA from 1 species
CGUAGGGUGCUAGAGUUGUCCGGAUUUACUGGGUGUAAAGGGUGCUCAGGUGGGUUUGUAAGUCAGAGGUGAAAUCCCAAAGCUUAACUUUGGAGCUGCCUUUGAUACUGCAAGUCUUGAGUUUGAGAGAGGGUAAUGGAAUAUCUGGUGUAGCAGUGAAAUGCGUAGAUAUCAGAUAGAACACCAAUGGCGAAGGCAGUUACCUGGCUCAAAACUGACGCUAAAGCACGAAAGUGUGGGGAGCAAACAGGAUUAGAUACCCUGGUAGUCCACACCCUAAACGAUGAAUACUAGAUGUUGGUCUUUUAUAAGGUCAGUAUCCAAGCUAACGCAUUAAGUAUUCCACCUGGGAAUACAAUCGCAAGGUUG